rnacentral:piRNA from 1 species
GCCAUGCAUGUCUAAGUA